GCCAGAGCCAUAUUACUCUGCAGCUCUUGCCUGGUGUCCCAAUGAAGCUAAGCAGGGUUGAGCCUGGCCACUACCUGGAUGGCAAACCUCUUGGGGAAAACUAAGGUUGCUGCUGGAA
rnacentral:rRNA from 1 species